UUUUUUCUUUGUUUUGAUUUUUAAGAAUUAUUUAUUUACUUUAUGUAUAUGAGUACACUGCUGCUGUCUUCAGACACACUGGAAGAGGGCAUCAGUUCCCAUUACAGAGGGUUGUGAGCCACCAUAUAGUUACUGAGAAUUGAACUCAGGACCUCUGGAAGAGCAGUCAGUGCUCUUAACCCCUGAGCCAUCUCUCCAGUCUUAGAGGUCAAUUGUUUUAACAUAAGAUAAAUUAUCCAUUUUAUGGAGAAACCCUGUCUAGAGAAAAGAACAAAACAAAAUAUGGUGAUACAAGAAAACUGAGUAAGGGGAUUCCUACACCACUAUCCUAAGUAGCUAGAAAGGGGAUAACAGGUAGUACAUAAGAGCUUGAUUUGAUAAAAGCCCAGGUAGUUCUACAGUUAAGAGGAAUGAGGGUGGGGAUGGUAAGAUAACUUAGAGGUUAAGAACACUGGCUGUUUCUUCCAGAGGUCCUGAGUUCAACUAUCUAUAAAGGGUUCUACCCUUCUUCUGGCAUGUAGGUGUCCAAGCAGACAGAGCACUUCUACAUUAAAAGAAAAAGGAAAAGAAAGAGAAAAAGAACAAGAAAAGCAUCAGUACAUAGUACUUCAUUGUCUUUAGUAAAGUAGGAACAAGUUUUAACAGGUGAAUGGAAGUGAGGGUGUUACUGGUUUAAAAAGAAAGAAAAACAAGUCCAUUUGUAGUGUAUAGCUUUUCCCUAUAAAAUAAAAGAGAGAAGAGGCAAGAUGAUCUUAAACUAAAGGUCAGCUUGAGUUAUGCAAUCUGGACUGUAUGUAAGGCAGAGAAAGAGAAUCUUGCAACCCAAUUAUCUAGGAGAGUGAUAGUGUGGACUGAGUGUUGACUGACUGGCAGGAUUAAAGGCCCACCGAGAUUUUUAAUCUCAAGAAUUUGAAAAUAUGGUCAGUCAGCACAGUUAAGUUGUCUAUCUGUGUUUCCAGCUAUUUUCCAAUGCAUGGUGCUAGGAACCAAACCUGAGUCCUUUGCAAAAGUAACAAGUGCUAUUAACUACGAACAAUCUCUCCAGCCCUCUCCUACUUCGUGUGUAUGUGUGUUUGGGGGUUGGGGGUUGGAUUUCCAAGACAGUGUUUCUCUGUGUAGCCCUGAUUGUCCUGCAACUAACUCUGUAGACCUGGAUGCCCUAAGAAUUCAGACCUGAGAUCUGUUCUGAUAGGAUUAAAGGCAUGCAACAACACCACCCAGUUCUCCUAUAUUUCAUUCCAAUUCAGAGUCAGAAGUCAGAAGACCAGGAAGCAUAAUCUUAAGAUUCUAUCCACUCCCAACAUCAAAUAAAAUACUAAGUACUGAACAUUUAAUAUACAGAGCUUUCCCCUCUUUUUCACAUGGCCUUUUCCACCAAUGCAAUGCUCUCAAAAUCUGUGCCUAUCCUAUUUGCCUCUAGAAGUGAAUACAAUGAAAUGAUCUGUUUACUUUUUGUAGAUCAAACUGGCCUAGAAAUCCACCUGCCUAAGCCUCCUGAAUUCUGAGAUUAAAUUCUGAGCACAACUUAAAAAUGAUCCUUUCUCGUUGGGGAUUUAGCUCAGUGGUAGAGCGCUUGCCUAGGAAGCACAAGGCCCUGGGUUCAGUCCCCAGCUCCGAAAAAAAAGAACCCCAAAAAAAAAAAAUUGAUCCUUUCUCAAAAGAAAACAAACCUGUCACCUUUCCCCUUUCCUAGGCUAGGGCUCCGCACGAAUUAGCCCAAUCUCGCUGUUUCUCUGCACUCUACCAAAACCAUCCUGACAAAUGUCUCUUGCAAGUAUACAGGCUUGCUUACAUUUUUAAGUUACCAGAACAAAGCACACCAUUCUCCUCCUUUCUUCUGUUGUGCUUCUAUGGGGCACAUAGCUCCUUCACACUGCUGCACUUGAUUUUCAUCUUUCAAAAACCCAAUUCAGCUACCCAUUUUUCCAGGAAGUUAUUAACCUACUCCAACCUAAAUAGUGAUUCAUCUUCUUCCCUUCUAUGCUAUUCCUAUACCCUGGUCUUUUUUUUUUUUUAAAGAUUUAUUUAUUUCAUGUAUGUGAGUACACUGUAGCAGUCUUCAGACACACCAGAAGAGGACAUCAGAUCUCAUUACAGAUGGUUGUGAGCCACCAUGUGGUUGCUGGGAAUUGAACUCAGGACCUCUGGAAGAGCAGUCAGUGCUCUUAACCACUGAGCCAUCUCUCCAGCCCCCUAUACCCUGGUCUUAUCUAGAAAAUUAUCACACAUGUAACUAGAAAUGGUUUUCAAUGUCUAGGGAGCUUAAAGAAGACCAUACACAGAUACCUAUUCUGGAAUAGUCUCUUUUACCCUUCCCCAACCCAAAGACACCUCAGAACAACCACAAAAUCCAAGCUUCCAUCAGGAGCUACUGAGGAAGGACCGAGCCAAUCAGGAUCUACCUCACAGAAAUAGACAUUAAAUUAAAAUAGAAAGUUGGUAUAUUUGUGUGGCUGAGAAAUGUUAAGACAAAAAUAAAGGCUGUGAGAACAGUCACAGGUUUUUACUGGAAAGAAAAGGCAAGCAGGUCCUCAAAAAAAAAAAAAAAUCCCAUCAUGAGUGGGCAGAGUGAAAUGGUUUAAUAAGAAAACACAGUAUUAAAGGCCUUUGGACUGUUGCUUUAGUCCCACCUAAGCCUCUCCAAAUUCCUGCCAAUACCAUCUGUAAGCAAGACCCCUAUUUCUAUUAUUCACAGCUAAACGUUCCAAAUGGUAUUUUACUGAACUUUCCUAUCUUUCUUUCCUACUAGCAACAUGAAGGCAAGCAGUGUCUUAUUCAUGUCUUCAUCUACAGGACUAGCAGACCCUUAAAAACAUCAGGUGCUCAAUGACCAUCAUUAAGAACUACUAAGACAUCCUAAAAACUGUGUAUUUUAUAUAUAAAUUUUAUCAAAAAUAUAUAAAAACAUACUGUUCUUUAAUUAAAGAAUGAUGAGAUGAGGAGCUGGAGAGGUGGCUCAGUGUAAGAGCACUCACCACUCUUGCAGAGGACCCAGGUUUAAUUUCUGGGACUCACAUGGUCAUUCACAACCACAGGCAACUCCAGUUUUCAGGGAUCUACCACAUUCUUCUAACUCCAUAAGCACCAGGGACAUGUGUAACACAUAUACAUACAUUCAGGCAAAACGGUCAUAGACAUAAUAUAAAUCUAAAACAGAAAACAAGAAUAAUGAAAUGCUAUGAGAAAAAUUGUUUUGUUUUUCAAAACAGGGUUUCUCUGGAUAGUCCUGGAUGUCCUCAAACUAGCUCUGGAGACCAGGCUGCCCUAAAACUCAGAGAUCCACCUGCCUCUGCCUCCUGAGUCCUAAGAAUAAAGGCAUUCACAAUGCCAGUCAAAAUUAAUUUUUAAAUUAAUCAAAAUAGAUGAAUAUAAAAUUAAGACUAUAAAUAGAAUAUAAAAUAGAAUGUAAAAAGAAAUAGGCUUGGUCAGGUGUGGUAGCACACACCUUUAAUUCUAACACUCAGGAGGCAGAGAAGCAGGCAAAUUUCAGUGAGUUUGGGGAUAGCCUGGUAUACAAAGAAAGUCCAGGAUAGUCAGGGAAACCCUGUCUCAAAAAAAAGAAAAUGAAAAAAAGAAAAAAAUUGAUAGAAAAUGUGAGAAAUAAAAGGCAGGCAGUGUCUUAUUCAUUCACUUAGAUUUGAUAAUUGAUGUAUAUUGAUUGUAGAAUAUAUACAUAAUUAUUUCAGUUUUUUUAAUAUCUAAGAUUUUUAUAACAAAUUCUGAGAGAAUUAUAAUAGUAAUAAAUUGCAUUGACCUAUACAGAAACAACUUACAUAUGAAUAUACACUCUGUAUAAUAGAUUAUAUAUGUGGCCCUCAUCCUUACAAUGAAAAUUCAAAAGAAACUCAACUGGUAUAGUUGGCGGUAGGUUUUCAAAGUGCUGACUCCACUUUCUCAUUUAGUUGUUUCUUCUAAGAGUGACACCAUGAAGCACUCAUGGUUUGUUUAAUCCUAGCACACAGUCAGUAGAGGUGGGUCAAUCUAUUUGGUCAAGUGAAUUUGAGGCCAGCUUAGGUUACAUAGCAAAUUCAGACCAACCAGAGCUACAUAGUGAGACUACCUCAAACGAGCAAAGAAAAAGACAAUAAUGAAACACAAAUAAAUACAAAACCAAAUAAUUUCAAUUUCAUGCCUCCUUUAAAACUAGUUUUAUGGGGUUGGGGAUUUAGCUCAGUGGUAGAGCGCUUGCCUAGCAAGCUCAAGGCCCUGGGUUCAGUUCCCAGCUCCGAAAAAAAGAAAAGGAAAAAAAAAAAAGAACUAGUUUUAUACAGAAUAAUCCAUAUCAAGACUUCUAUUAUUCAUCAAAACAACCAAAAAAGAUCUUGAAGCUUUAUGCUCUUAAUUUUCUUCACUAGGAAAAACAGACAUAACCACAGACUUCUAAAACUGGUCAAAAAGCCAAAAACAACAUUUCUCAAAAAAAAAAAAAAAAAAAAAAAAAAAGA